rnacentral:rRNA from 1 species
UACAGAGGGGGCAAGCGUUAUCCGGAAUUAUUGGGCGUAAAGAGCUCGUAGGCGGUUUGUCGCGUCUGCCGUGAAAGUCCGGGGCUCAACUCCGGAUCUGCGGUGGGUACGGGCAGACUAGAGUGAUGUAGGGGAGACUGGAAUUCCUGGUGUAGCGGUGAAAUGCGCAGAUAUCAGGAGGAACACCGGUGGCGAAGGCGGGUCUCUGGGCAACAACUGACGCUGAGGAGCGAAAGCGUGGGGAGCGAACAGG